AAAUGCGAUAAGUAAUGUGAAUUGCAGAAUUCAGUGAAUCAUCGAAUCUUUGAACGCACCUUGCGCUCCUUGGUAUUCCUUGGAGCAUGCCUGUUUGAGUAUCAUGAAAUCUUCAAAGUAAAUCUUUUGUUAACUCAAUUGGUUUCUACUUUGGUAUUGGAGGUCUUUGCAGCUUCACACCUGCUCCUCUUUGUUCAUUAGCUGGAUCUCAGUGUUAUGCUUGGUUCCACUCGGCGUGAUAAGUUAUCUAUCGCUGAGGACACUGUAAAAGGUGGCCAAGGUAAAUGCAGAUGAACCGCUUCUAAUAGUCCAUUGACUUGGACAAUACUUUUAUGAUCUGAUCUCAAAUCAGGUAGGACUACCCGGUGAACUUAAGC
rnacentral:misc_RNA from 1 species